GAAAGCUUGCUUUCCUUGAUGACGACUGGCGCACGGGUGAGUAACGCGUAUCCAACCUUCCCAUAACUACGGGAUAACCCGUUGAAAGACGGCCUAAUACCGUAUGACAUCGUUUGCUGACAUCAAAUAACGAUUAAAGGUUUAGCGGUUAUGGAUGGGGAUGCGUCUGAUUAGCUUGUUGGCGGGGUAACGGCCCACCAAGGCGACGAUCAGUAGGGGUUCUGAGAGGAAGGUCCCCCACAUUGGAACUGAGACACGGUCCAAACUCCUACGGGAGGCAGCAGUGAGGAAUAUUGGUCAAUGGGCGAGAGCCUGAACCAGCCAAGUAGCGUGCAGGAAGACGGCCCUAUGGGUUGUAAACUGCUUUUAUGUGGGGAUAAAGUGCGUGACGUGUCGUGCAUUGCAGGUACCACAUGAAUAAGGACCGGCUAAUUCCGUGCCAGCAGCCGCGGUAAUACGGAAGGUCCGGGCGUUAUCCGGAUUUAUUGGGUUUAAAGGGAGCGUAGGCUGUCUAUUAAGCGUGUUGUGAAAUUUACCGGCUCAACCGGUGGCUUGCAGCGCGAACUGGUCGACUUGAGUAUGCAGGAAGUAGGCGGAAUUCAUGGUGUAGCGGUGAAAUGCUUAGAUAUCAUGACGAACUCCGAUUGCGCAGGCAGCUUACUGUAGCAUAACUGACGCUGAUGCUCGAAAGUGCGGGUAUCAAACAGGAUUAGAUACCCUGGUAGUCCGCACGGUAAACGAUGGAUGCUCGCUAUUCGU
rnacentral:rRNA from 1 species